rnacentral:tRNA from 1 species
AGACCAAAGAGCUCGGCCUGAGCAAUAGAAUUUUAACCUGUGGGAAGUCCAAUAAGAACUUUUGGUC